rfam:Triticum aestivum genome assembly, contig: Triticum_aestivum_CS42_TGACv1_scaffold_405080_5BL
UACGUACUCCCUUCGUUCGGAAUUAAUUGUCUGAGAAAUGAAUGUAUCUAGAACUAAAAUACAUCUAGAUACAUCCAUUUUCGCGACAAGUAAUUCCGAACGGAGGGAGUAGGUA